GGAAAGGUGAAAAGAACCCCGAACAGGGGAGUGAAAUAGAACCUGAAACCAUACGCUUACAACCGGUCGGAGCAGCUUCGUGCUGUGACGGCGUGCCUAUUGAAUAAUGAGCCUACGAGUUACUAAUCACUAGCGAGGUUAAGUGCAAGGAUGCACGGAGCCGAAGCGAAAGCGAGUCUGAACAGGGCGUUUAGUUAGUGGUUGUAGACGCGAAACCUUGCGAUCUACCCUUGAGCAGGUUGAAGGUUGGGUAAAACCAACUGGAGGACCGAACGAAUAAGCGUUGAAAAGCUUCUCGAUGACUUGAGGGUAGGGGUGAAAGGCUAAUCAAGCUGGGAAAUAGCUCGUACUCCCCGAAAUGCCUUUUGGGGCAGCGUUGUAAUAAAGAGUCUACUGGAGGUAGAGCUACUGAUUGGAUGCGGGGGCUUCACCGCCUACCAAAUCCUGACAAACUCCGAAUGCCAGUAGUAUGAUUUACAGCAGUGAGUGACUGGGUGCUAAUGUCCAGUCGCAAAAGAGGAACAACUCAGACCAGCAACUAAGGUCCCGAAGAAUAUGCUAAGUUGAUCUAACGAUGUUUUGUUGCAGAGACAGCUAGGAUGUUAGCUUGGAAGCAGCUAUUCAUUCAAAGAGUGCGUAACAGCUCACUAGUCGAGCGACAGAGCGUGGAUAAUAAACGGGCAUCAAGCAUAUCACCGAAGUUCUGGGCGCGAGAGCGCGGUAGGGGAGCAUUCCAUUCAGCGUCGAAGCAGUUUCGUGAGGAAUUGUGGAGCGUAUGGAAAAGCAAAUGUAGGCAUGAGUAACGAUAAUGCGGGAGAGUAACCCGCACACCGCAAGACCAAGGUUUCCUGAUCAACGCUAAUCGGAUCAGGGUUAGUCGGGUCCUAAGGGUAAGCCGAACGGCGAUCUCGAUGGAUAAUCGGUUAAUAUUCCGAUACUAACAUAUACCUCGAUGGAGAGACGAAGGAACGUAAGUGCCGCCACCUGACGGAAUAGGUGGUUAAAGGGCGUAGAUAUAGGGGCAGAUUAAGAGUUAGUCCUUGCUGAAACCUGACAGUACAGAGAGCCUACGGGCAAUUUGAUAGAGCACCCAAGUCGACUUCCGAGAAAAUCUUCUAAGUUAUAGUAUAUGUUACCCGUACCGUAAACCGACACAGGUGGUCGAGGAGAGUAUCCUAAGGUGCUCGAGUGAAUCACGGUUAAGGAACUAGGCAAAUUAACCCCGUAACUUCGGGAAAAGGGGUCCCUAUGAAAGUAGGGCGCAGCGAAGAGGUCCAGGCGACUGUUUAUCAAAAACACAGGGCUCUGCAAAUUCGAAAGAAGACGUAUAGGGCCUGACACCUGCCCGGUGCUGGAAGGUUAAGAGGGGAUGUCAUCGCAAGAGAAGCAUUGAAUCGAAGCCCCAGUAAACGGCGGCCGUAACUAUAACGGUCCUAAGGUAGCGAAAUUCCUUGUCGGGUAAGUUCCGACCUGCACGAAUGGUGUAACGAUCUGGACACUGUCUCAACCGUGAGCUCGGUGAAAUUGUAGUCCCGGUGAUGAUGCCGGGUACCCGCAACGGGACGAGAAGACCCCGUGAACCUUUACUAUAGCUUAACGCUGAAUUUGGGUACACAAUGUGUAGGAUAGGCCGGAGGCUUUGAAGCGGGCACGCCAGUGUUCGUGGAGCCGACGUUGAAAUACGGCCCUUUGUGUAUUUGAGUUCUAACCCUGCGAAGGGGACACCGUUUGGUGGGUAGUUUGACUGGGGUGGUCGCCUCCAAAAGCGUAACGGAGGCUUCCCAAGGUACCCUCAGCACGAAUGGUAACCGUGCGCGGAGUGCAAUAGCAUAAGGGUGCUUGACUGUGAGACAUACAAGUCGACCAGGUACGAAAGUAGGGUAUAGUGAUCCGGUGGUUCUGCGUGGACUGGCCAUCGCUCAAAGGAUAAAAGGUACUCCGGGGAUAACAGGCUGAUCGCCGCCAAGAGCUCAUAUCGACGCGGCGGUUUGGCACCUCGAUGUCGGCUCGUCACAUCCUGGGGCUGGAGAAGGUCCCAAG
rnacentral:rRNA from 1 species